rnacentral:rRNA from 1 species
UGGCUAACUCCGUGCCAGCAGCCGCGGUAAUACGGAGGGGGCUAGCGUUAUUCGGAAUUAUUGGGCGUAAAGGGCGCGUAGGCGGGUUAAUAAGUUAAAAGUGAAAUCCCGAGGCUUAACCUUGGAAUUGCUUUUAAAACUGUUAAUCUAGAGAUUGAAAGAGGAUAGAGGAAUUCCUAAUGUAGAGGUGAAAUUCGUAAAUAUUAGGAGGAACACCAGUGGCGAAGGCGUCUAUCUGGUUCAAAUCUGACGCU